GACAGAGGUGCCAAGCGUUAGGCGGAAUCACUGGGCUUAAAGCGUGUGUAGGCGGAUCGUUAAGUGCCUUGUGAAAUCCCACGGCUCAACCGUGGAAUUGCUCGGCAUACUGGCGAUCUUGAGCCAUCUAGGGGCUACUGGAACAAACGGUGGAGCGGUGAAAUGCGUAGAUAUCGUUUGGAACGCCAAUGGUGAAAACAGGUAGCUGGGGAUGUGCUGACGCUGAGACACGAAAGCCAGGGGAGCAAACGGG
rnacentral:rRNA from 1 species